rnacentral:lncRNA from 1 species
CUGUAAGGAGAGGGAUGCCAACGACUGCUGGUUCUACUACACCUACGCUGUCAACAACAAGACAGAGAAGGAGGUCCAUGUGGUGGAAACACUAGACUGCCCUGCGAUCAUCCCAACUGUGGGCUGGCGUGGUGGCGGGCAUCGUGCUGAUCGGCCUGGCUUUGCUUCUCAUCUGGAAGCUGCUGAUGAUCAUCCACGACAGGAGAGAGUUCGCCAAGUUUGAGAAGGAGAAGAUGAAUGCUAAAUGGGACACAUGUUCCAUGGAUGACAACAUAAAUGCUCACUCACAAUGACAGCAGCGUAUCCAGGGCGAAAACCCUAUCUACAAGCAGUGGCGACCCAUCCCUGAGGGCAGGCAAAGCUCCACCUGUUUGCCUGUUUUGCAUGUUAUUUUGGCAUUAAUACAUGUCACAUAUCAGUUUGCAAACAAUGUACAAAAAAUUGUCAUUGAGUUUAUAAAGCUGCAUACAAACAUCA